AAAAAUGCUGAGAUAAGAAAUAGUAGCAUAGGCUAAACUGACAGAGAGGAAUCCCCUUGGCUGAAAGGGAUUUUGAGCGUAAACUGUGUGAAUGCGUCUUUGAGCACUGCCUCGAAAAAUAGUAGACGGCAGCGUGUACGCGCGUUAAAGCGUUAGGGUAUGAAUGUACCUGAGUGAAUGAGAUAACAUGAUGAUUUUUUGUCGUGUUAAUUAGAGUGGAACCGCAGAAUAUAACUUCUGCCUCUAUG
rnacentral:ncRNA from 1 species